CACUUGUGGGUGGAUUAGUGGCGAACGGGUGAGUAACACGUGAGUAACCUGCCCUUAACUCUGGGAUAAGCCUGGGAAACUGGGUCUAAUACCGGAUAUGACUCCUCAUCGCAUGGUGGGGGGUGGAAAGCUUUUUGUGGUUUUGGAUGGACUCGCGGCCUAUCAGCUUGUUGGUGAGGUAAUGGCUCACCAAGGCGACGACGGGUAGCCGGCCUGAGAGGGUGACCGGCCACACUGGGACUGAGACACGGCCCAGACUCCUACGGGAGGCAGCAGUGGGGAAUAUUGCACAAUGGGCGCAAGCCUGAUGCAGCGACGCCGCGUGAGGGAUGACGGCCUUCGGGUUGUAAACCUCUUUCAGUAGGGAAGAAGCGAAAGUGACGGUACCUGCAGAAGAAGCGCCGGCUAACUACGUGCCAGCAGCCGCGGUAAUACGUAGGGCGCAAGCGUUAUCCGGAAUUAUUGGGCGUAAAGAGCUCGUAGGCGGUUUGUCGCGUCUGCCGUGAAAGUCCGGGGCUCAACUCCGGAUCUGCGGUGGGUACGGGCAGACUAGAGUGAUGUAGGGGAGACUGGAAUUCCUGGUGUAGCGGUGAAAUGCGCAGAUAUCAGGAGGAACACCGAUGGCGAAGGCAGGUCUCUGGGCAUUAACUGACGCUGAGGAGCGAAAGCAUGGGGAGCGAACAGGAUUAGAUACCCUGGUAGUCCAUGCCGUAAACGUUGGGCACUAGGUGUGGGGGACAUUCCACGUUUUCCGCGCCGUAGCUAACGCAUUAAGUGCCCCGCCUGGGGAGUACGGCCGC
rnacentral:rRNA from 1 species